UCCCUGCUGGCUCAAAUGGUGAAGAAUCUGCCUGCAGAGCAGGAGACCCAGGUUCUAUCCCUGGGUCAGGAA
rnacentral:tRNA from 1 species